rnacentral:rRNA from 1 species
UACGUAGGGUGCGAGCGUUAAUCGGAAUUACUGGGCGUAAAGCGUGCGCAGGCGGUUCGUUGUGUCUGCUGUGAAAUCCCCGGGCUCAACCUUUGAAAGCCGGUGGAUACUGGAUGGCUAGAGUACGGAAGAGGCGAGUGGAAUUCCUGGUGUAGCGGUGGAAUGCGCAGAUAUCAGGAGGAACACCUAUAGCGAAGGCAGCUUGCUGGGACGUUACUGACGCUAAGGCGCGAAAGCGUGGGGAGCGAACAGG